AAGUCGUAACAAGGUCUCCGUAGGUGAACCUGCGGAGGGAUCAUUACCGAGCGAGGGCCUCCGGGUCCGACCUCUCAACCCCAUGUCACCCGACACUGUUGCCUCGGGGGCGACCCGGCCCUCCGGCGUCGGGGCCCCGGUGGACCAUCAAACACUGUAUCUGUGUGUCCGAGUAUAAUGAUGAAUCAAUCAAAA
rnacentral:misc_RNA from 1 species